rnacentral:misc_RNA from 1 species
AAAAAAAAAAUGAAAAAGAAAAAUCGUAUUACACAUGAAUUUGAAACUUUCAUAUCCUCUCUCUGAUGUAACCUGCUGAAAUGAAAAAUUAUGUAAGGAAACCCAUAUAUGUUCACCGGUUUUAUUAUAACCAUUAAUUAUGGUAGGUUUCAUAUGGAUCCCACCAUGAGAUUAAAUUGUUGUAUGUAUAAUGAUUGUAAUGAAUAUCAUUAAUUUCAGCAUCUGUCCUAAGAAAUCUGAGCAGCAGGAGUCUCAUUUUCAACUAUAAAAAGGGAAACACAUCAAAACUCACCACAGGCACAGCUACUACUCUUUAUAGUUUUCAAGCUUCACUACUCCUUUCUAAGAACCCAUUUCUCUAUCCUUCUCUACAAGAGGAAAAAAUAACAAAAAAGAUGAUGAAGAGUCUCCUAGUACUCUUAGUGUUCAUCUUCCCUGUUCAUGCUGUAAUUCCAAGCAUUAUUGGCAGCAACUUGAUAGACCAAACCUGCAAGCAGACACCCUAUUAUGAACUUUGUGUGUGGUCUAUUAUAUCAAACCCUCAAAGCUUUAGUACUGACGUUAAAGGUCUAGCAAAGAUAAUGGUUUUCACCAUUGAUGCUAAGGCAACCCAUACCGUUAAACAUAUCAACAACCUGCUUCAACGCAGCAGCAGCCUUAGCGAAAAGGAGAGACAAGAAUUGAAAGCUUGUGCUGAUCGUUACAGUGUGAUUAUAAAGGGAGACGUCCCGCAGUCCAUUGAUGCUCUGCGCACAGGUGACUAUAAGUUUGCUCAAGAAGGCACAUAUGAUGCUGCUACUGAGGCCAUGUCUUGUGAAGAAGAAUUCUCCUGUCACCAUUCCAAGCUGUCUGAUAUGAAUAUGGUGCUCCAUGACGUCUCCGUUGUGGCUGCUUCCAUUGUUAAGGUAAUUCUAAGCAGUUGAGUGUUGAGAUAUAUGUUUUUCUUUCGUUGCUUAAUUUCUUUCUAAGGAAAUCCCAUAAUAAUUAAGUUUCUUUUUUUUUUAAGUUAAUAAACUUUUUAAAUUUAUUUAUUUUUUCACCAUUUUGGAUCAGACAAAUUUUGUCAUUGAUUAAUAUUUUAAUUUGAUCGAUUGCAUGCAAGUG